GGGGAUGUAGCUCAGCUGGGAGAGCGCCACGUUCGCAACGUGGAGGUCGUGGGUUCGAUCCCCAUCAUCUCCACCA
rnacentral:tRNA from 2 species